rnacentral:rRNA from 1 species
CCUUGCGCUUUUGGAGCGGCCGAUGUCUGAUUAGCUAGUUGGUGAGGUAAAGGCUUACCAAGGCUUCGAUCAGUAGCUGGUCUGAGAGGACGACCAGCCACACUGGGACUGAGACACGGCCCAGACUCCUACGGGAGGCAGCAGUGGGGAAUUUUGGACAAUGGGGGAAACCCUGAUCUAGCCAUGCCGCGUGAGUGAAGAAGGCCUUCGGGUUGUAAAGCUCUUUCAGCCGGAACGAAACGGUCACGGCUAAUACCUGUGAUCACUGACGGUACCGGAAGAAGAAGCACCGGCUAACUACGUGCCAGCAGCCGCGGUAAUACGUAGGGUGCGAGCGUUAAUCGGAAUUACUGGGCGUAAAGCGUGCGCAGGCGGUUUUGUAAGUCAGAUGUGAAAUCCCCGGGCUUAACCUGGGAACUGCGUUUGAAACUACAAGGCUAGA